GUCACAAUUACGGUGACGUCUUUGUAUUAUGACGUCACAAUUAUAACAUCCUUCACAACGGAGGCAAAACAUUGAAGUCGUGAGCAUUGAAACCAUUAUGGAACCUAAGUACAAGAAGAGUAAGGAAUAUUUUGGAAGUUUGGGAGACUCAGAAAGUGAUUGGGUAAACAAUACUUGGUCAGAAUUCAAAGACGGUACCGAAUACCUAGAAUGGUUGGAGCGACAACUUCCAUAUCUAGAGGAAUUUGAAGACAGUGAUGCGGUUCAUUACUACUUUUUUCGGAGCUGGAGCAAACACACAUCAUACUUUCCCGAGAUGGAACCUUUAA